UGGGAUAGGUGGUGUGUCUCAGACCGGU
rnacentral:piRNA from 1 species